GCUCCGGUAGCUCAGUUGGUAGAGCAGGCGGCUCUUAACCGUCGUGUCGCUGGUUCAAGUCCAGUUCGGAGUAC
rnacentral:tRNA from 2 species